rnacentral:rRNA from 1 species
GACGAACGCUGGCGGCGUGCCUAAUACAUGCAAGUAGAACGCACAGUUUAUACUGUAGCUUGCUACACCAUUGACUGUGAGUUGCGAAAGGGUGAGUAACGCGUAGGUAACCUGCCUGGUAGCGGGGGAUAACUAUUGGAAACGAUAGCUAAUACCGCAUAAUAUUAAUUAUUGCAUGAUAAUUAAUUGAAAGGUGCAAUUGAAUCACUACUAGAUGGACUUGCGUUGUAUUAGCUAGUAGGUGAGGUAACGGCUCACCUAGGCGACGAUACAUAGCCGACCUGAGUGGGUGGGCGGCCACCCUGGGACGGAGACACGGCCCAGACUCCUACGGGAGGCAGCAGGAGGGAAUCUUCGGCAAUGGACGAAAGUCUGACCGAGCAACGCCGCGUGAGUGAGGAAGGUUUUCGGGUCGUAAAGCUCUGUUGUAAGAGAAGAACGGGUGUGAGAGUGGAAAGUUCACUCUGUGACGGUAACUUACCAGAAAGGGACGGCUAACUACGUG